rnacentral:rRNA from 1 species
CCUACGGGAGGCAGCAGUGGGGAAUAUUGGGCAAUGGAGGCAACUCUGACCCAGCAACGCCGCGUGAGCGAUGAAGGUCUUCGGAUUGUAAAGCUCUGUCGCAGGGGACGAAGUAUGACGGUACCCUGUAAGAAAGCCCCGGCAAACUACGUACCAGAAGCCGCGGUAAUACGUAGGGGGCUAGCGUUGUCCGGAUUUACUGGGCGUAAAGGGAGGGUAUACGGCUUUGCAAGUUCAGUGUGAAAGCCUGCGGCUUAACCGAAGAAUUGCACUUAAAACUGACUGGCUAGAGUGCAGGAGAGGUGAGUGGAAUUCCUGGUGUAGCGGUGGAAUGCGUAGAUAUUAGGAGGAACCCCAGAGGCGAAGGCGGCUCACUGGACUGUAACUGACGUUGAGGCUCGAAAGCGUGGGGAGCAAACAGGAUUAGAUACCCGAGUAGUC